AGAAUUAUAAUUUUAAAAAUAGUUUCCAGACUACACCAAAAAAAACAAGACGUAAAUGUAAUUGGUGUGAUAAACAUUAUCAGGCUAGUACAGCUACAACGAAUUUGAAGAAGCACAUGCAGACUGUGCACCCGGAAACGAUUAAUAAUAAUUUUCAAGAUGAUAUACCUGAAACGUUAUUUGGAUCAAGAAAAUUAACGGCUAAUGAAAAUACGCAUAUUAAUAAAUUAAUAUUGCGAUAUCUAAUUAAACAAAAUAUAUCGUUUAAUUCUUUAGAUAGCUUAUAUUUUAAAGAUAUUUUCAAAUAUCUAAACAAAAAUUGUAAAAUUUGGUGCAGGCAAACUGCAACUAAAUACCUCAAUAAUAUAUACAUCUCUGCAAAAAAAACAUUAUUACCAAUCUUCACGAGCUUCGUAGUGAAGUCUCCUUAACAACCGAUAUUUGGACCGGAUUAAAUAAAAUGACGUUUUGUUCAUUAACAAUCCACUAUAUAGAUAAAACAUGGAUGAUAAAGAAUUUCUUAUUAGAUAUUCUUGAAUUCCCACACCCCCAUGGUGGUCAGGAUAUUUUUGAAAUAAUAAAAACAACUUUAGAGGAAUAUGAAAUUAUUAGCAAAGUAAUAAGCAUAACGAAUGAUAAUGGGGCUAAUGUUAUCCAUGGAGUUAAUUUAUUGAUAGAAUAUAUAGAAAAAAAUUAUUAAAAAAAAAUGUAUAAUCACCGAUGCUUAGCCCAUACUAUAAAUCUUAUCGUGAAAUCCGGGCUGGAUUAUUUUUCUCCAUCAUUAGAAAAAAUUGAGAGCUUCGUAAAAAGUAUUCACAGAAACCCCAAAUUAAUGCAAGGAUUCAUAAAUAAGUUGGGGUAUUAGAAUACCGAUGGAUGUUGCCACAAGGUGGAACAGCAAGUACAUCAUGAUUACAGCCAUUAAUAAGAAUCUCGAGGCCGUUAUCCAGCUAGCUAAAGAUUACAGUGGUGAUAAAGACUUUAGCUUAAACACCGAGGAAUCUAAAUUUUUGGUGCUUUUGGAACAAUUUUUGUUUCCAUUUUAUAAAAUAACCUGCGAAAUAAGUGAGGAGAGCCACAGUAAUAUCGGUAUGGCCAUGUUAUACAUGGAUAAAAUACAGACUAAUUUGGAGUCUGUAUGUAGAUUUAGUACAAAUAAUUGUAUUAAAAGUGGGGCUACAAAAAUGCUGGAAAAAUGUAAAAGUUACAUUGUAAUUAUGGAAUCAUUUCCUAAUUACGUUUGCGGUAUACUUGAUCCAAGGAUAAGAAAAAAUAUUUGCCGCCGAUUUUGAAUACAUCGGAAUAUUAUGAAAGAUUCAAAGAUUUAUUUAUUCAAUAUAAUGAUGAUAAUAAUAAUUUGGAUAGAUAUAAUUUUACUAAUGAAGAAAAUGAAUCUCAUUUAAUGUCAGUAAAUAUACUUAAUGAAUUGCGAACCUGUGCCCAAGAAGCCGUGAAUCAUGCUAUGGGGGAAAUAGAGGAUUAUUUAUCAGACUCAGUUGCACAGACCACCGAGAAUGUUUUGGGAUGGUGGUCUCGGUAUAUUCAUCGUUUUCCAAGGUUGUCCAAAAUAGCUAAAGAUUUUAUGGCACAACAAACUACAUCCGUAUCAAGUGAAAGAACUUUCUCUAGAGCUGUCGAUACAAUGACUAAGAAGAGAAAUAGGAAGUCUUCAUCCGUUCUUAAACAGACGCUGUCGUUAAAUUCGUGGGAUGUGAAUCUUUUUACUAUUACCGAUAAUA